AUCUAAGGUGAUUCCCUCUCCAAGGGGCCUGCCAGUGCUCCUCAGAAGUGUAGCAACUCGGAAGAAAAUGUGGCAUACCUCGGCUGCCAACAUAG